rnacentral:rRNA from 1 species
UACGUAGGGUGCAAGCGUUAAUCGGAAUUACUGGGCGUAAAGCGUGCGCAGGCGGUUUUGUAAGUCUGACGUGAAAUCCCCGGGCUUAACCUGGGAAUGGCAUUUGGGACUGCAAGGCUCGAGUGCGGCAGAGGAGACUGGAAUUCCUGGUGUAGCAGUGAAAUGCGUAGAUAUCAGGAGGAACACCGAUGGCGAAGGCAGGUCUCUGGGCUGACACUGACGCUCAUGCACGAAAGCGUGGGGAGCAAACAGG